UAGAGGAAGCUCCGGCUAACUCCGUGCCAGCAGCCGCGGUAAUACGGGGGGAGCGAGCGUUGUCCGGAAUCAUUGGGCGUAAAGGGCAUUCAGGUGGGUCUUUAAGUCAGUUGUUAAAUAUUACGGCUUAACCGUAUUAUGCAAUUGAUACUGGAGAUCUUGAGUUUGAGAGGGGACAGUGGAAUACCUAGUGUAGCGGUGGAAUGCGUAGAUAUUAGGUAGAACACCCGAGGCGAAGGCGACUGUCUGGCUCAUAACUGACACUGAAGUGCGAAAGCAUGGGUAGCAAACAGGAUUAGAUACCCUGGUAGUCCAUGCCGUAAACGAUGGGUACUAGUUGUCGGGGGGACUAACCCCCUCGGUGGCGUCGCUAACGCUUUAAGUACCCCCGCCUGGGGGAGUACGGCCGC
rnacentral:rRNA from 1 species